rnacentral:rRNA from 1 species
GCAAGUCGAACGAGAAAGUGAUCUUCGGAUCGCGAGUAGAGUGGCGCACGGGUGAGUAACACGUGGAUAACCUGCCCUAUGAUCUGGGAUAACACUUCGAAAGGGGUGCUAAUACCGGAUAAGCCUACACAACCUUCGGGGCGAGUAGGAAAAGAUUUAUCGUCAUAGGAUGGGUCCGCGGUCCAUUAGUUAGUUGGUGGGGUAAUGGCCUACCAAGCCUACGAUCUAUAGCUGGUUUGAGAGGAUGAUC